UACGUAGGUGGCAAGCGUUGUCCGGAAUUAUUGGGCGUAAAGAGCUCGUAGGCGGUCCGUCACGUCCGCUGUGAAAACCCAGGGCUCAACCCUGGGCUUGCAGUGGAUACGGGGCAGACUAGAGGUAGGUAGGGGAGAAUGGAAUUCCCGGUGUAGCGGUGAAAUGCGCAGAUAUCGGGAGGAACACCGGUGGCGAAGGCGGUUCUCUGGGCAUUACCUGACGCUGAGGAGCGAAAGUGUGGGGAGCGAACAGG
rnacentral:rRNA from 1 species